rnacentral:rRNA from 1 species
AUUGAACGCUGGCGGCAUGCUUUACACAUGCAAGUCGAACGGCAGCACGGACUUCGGUGUGGUGGCGAGUGGCGAACGGGUGAGUAAUACAUCGGAACGUACCCAGUAAUGGGGGAUAACUAUCCGAAAGGAUAGCUAAUACCGCAUACGCCCUACGGGGGAAAGAGGGGGACCGCAAGACCUCUUGUUAUUGGAGCGGCCGAUGGCUGAUUAGCUAGUUGGUAGGGUAAAGGCCUACCAAGGCAACGAUCAGUAGCGGGUCUUAGAGGAGGGUCCGCCACACUGGGACUGAGACACGGUCCAGACUCCUACGGGAGGCAGCAGUGGGGAAUCUUGGACAAUGGGCGCAAGCCUGAUCCAGCAAUGCCGCGUGCGUGAAGAAGGCCUUCGGGUUGUAAAGCGCUUUUGUCAGGGAGCAAAUCCUUGUGGCUAAUCCCCUCCGGGGAUGAGAGUACCUGAAGAAUAAGGACCGGCUAACUACGUGCCAGCCGCCGCGGUAAAAC